AACAAAUUACCAACUAAAGACAAUCUUAGGGCAAGAAAUGCAUUGUAGAUGAAGAGGAUUGCAAGUGUGUUUUUUGUAAUAGGUGUGAAGAAACAGUGAAUAAUUGUUUCUUCACACGCGAGGGAGUGGUGGAAGUAUGGAAAGCUUGGUAUUGGUGGUUGGAAUCAGUCUUACCAAACUCACUCCAAGCACAUAUGAGCCAACAUGAUUGCUUAUUACAAAACAACAAAGACAAGGAAAGGUGGAUGGUGGUGUGGGUAGCGAUUGUGUGGAACAUUUGGCUUGUAAGGAAUGAGUGCAUAUUCAAA
rnacentral:lncRNA from 1 species